CCUACGGGAGGCAGCAGUAGGGAAUCUUCCACAAUGGACGAAAGUCUGAUGGAGCAACGCCGCGUGAGUGAAGAAGGGUUUCGGCUCGUAAAGCUCUGUUGGUAGUGAAGAAAGAUAGAGGUAGUAACUGGCCUUUAUUUUACAGUAAUUAGUUAGAAAGUCACGGCUAACUACGUGCCCGCAGCCACGGUAAUACGUAGGUGGCAAGCGUUGUCCGGAUUUAUUGGGCGUAAAGGGAGUGCAAGCGGUUCGAUAAGUCUGAUGUGAAAGCCUUCGGCUCAACCGGAGAAUUGCAUCAGAAACUGUGGAACUUGAGUGCAGAAGAGGAGAGCGGAACUCGUGGUGUAGCGGUGGAAUGCGUAGAUAUAUGGAAGAACACCAGUGGCGAAGGCGGCUCGCUGGACUGCAACUGACGCUGAGGCUCGAAAGCAUGGGUAGCGAACAGGAUUAGAUACCCCAGUAGUC
rnacentral:rRNA from 1 species